CUGGCUCAGAACGAACGCUGGUGGCGUGUCUUAUACAUGCAAGUCGAGCGAGGCAGCAAUGCCGAGCGGCGAACGGGUGAGUAACGCGUAAGCAAUCUGCCCCAUAUCAGGAAAUACCCGUGCCAACGCGCGGUUAAUGUCCAGGAGAGUGGCUCCUUGCAUGAGGAGUUGACUAGAGAUUUAUCGGUAUGGGAUGAGCUUGCGUCCGAUUAGCUAGUUGGCGGGGCAACGGCCCACCAAGGCGACGAUCGGUAGCCGGCCUGAGAGGGUGAUCGGCCACAUUGGGACUGAGAUACGGCCCAGACUCCUACGGGAGGCAGCAGUAGGGAAUAUUGCACAAUGGGGGAAACCCUGAUGCAGCAACGCCACGUGUGGGAAGAAGCAUUUCGGUGUGUAAACCACUGUCAUGAGGGAAUAAGGCCCGCCUUCGGGCGGGAUUGAAUGUACCUUGAGAGGAAGCACCGGCAAACUUCGUGCCAGCCGCCGC
rnacentral:rRNA from 1 species